CCCUUUCAGAUUCCUUGUCCCUCAGAUCUAAAUAUUGGUCGAGUGGCUGAAAAAGAAGGGAAAGUAAAACUGAAGUGGACUUGGAGUCUUUAAUAACUUAGAAGUGCAUUUCACACACAG
rnacentral:snoRNA from 1 species